rnacentral:rRNA from 1 species
AACGCUGGCGGCGUGCUUAACACAUGCAAGUCGAACGGAAAGGCCUGCAGCUUGCUGCGGGUACUCGAGUGGCGAACGGGUGAGUAACACGUGGGUGAUCUGCCUUGCACUUCGGGAUAAGCUUGGGAAACUGGGUCUAAUACCGGAUAGGACAGCUGUUUAGUGUCAGUUGUGGAAAGUUUUUUCGGUGCAAGAUGAGCUCGCGGCCUAUCAGCUUGUUGGUGGGGUAAUGGCCUACCAAGGCGUCGACGGGUAGCCGGCCUGAGAGGGUGUACGGCCACAUUGGGACUGAGAUACGGCCCAGACUCCUACGGGAGGCAGCAGUGGGGAAUAUUGCACAAUGGGCGGAAGCCUGAUGCAGCGACGCCGCGUGGGGGAUGAAGGCCUUCGGGUUGUAAACUCCUUUCGACAGGGACGAAGCGUAAGUGACGGUACCUGUAUAAGAAGCACCGGCUAACUACGUGCCAGCAGCCGCGGUAAUACGUAGGGUGCGAGCGUUGUCCGGAAUUACUGGGCGUAAAGAGCUCGUAGGUGGUUUGUCGCGUCGUCUGUGAAAUUCCGGGGCUUAACUCCGGGCGUGCAGGCGAUACGGGCUGACUUGAGUGCUGUAGGGGAGACUGGAAUUCCUGGUGUAGCGGUGAAAUGCGCAGAUAUCAGGAGGAACACCGAUGGCGAAGGCAGGUCUCUGGGCAGUAACUGACGCUGAGGAGCGAAAGCAUGGGUAGCGAACAGGAUUAGAUACCCUGGUAGUCCAUGCCGUAAACGGUGGGCGCUAGGUGUAGGGGGCUUCCACGUCUUCUGUGCCGUAGCUAACGCAUUAAGCGCCCCGCCUGGGGAGUACGGCCGCAAGGCUA